GACGAACGCUGGCGGCGUGCUUAACACAUGCAAGUCGAACGGAAAGGCCCUGCUUUUGUGGGGUGCUCGAGUGGCGAACGGGUGAGUAACACGUGAGUAACCUGCCCUUGACUUUGGGAUAACUUCAGGAAACUGGGGCUAAUACCGGAUAGGAGCUCCUGCUGCAUGGUGGGGGUUGGAAAGUUUCGGCGGUUGGGGAUGGACUCGCGGCUUAUCAGCUUGUUGGUGGGGUAGUGGCUUACCAAGGCUUUGACGGGUAGCCGGCCUGAGAGGGGGACCGGCCACAUGGGGACUGAGAGAGGCCGCAGACUCCAACGGGAGGCAGCAGUGGGGAACAUUGCACAAUGGGCGGGCGCGUGAUGCAGCAACGCCGCGUGCGGGAUGACGGCCUUCGGGUUGUAAACCGCUUUGGCCUGUGACGAAGCCUGAGUGACGGUAAUGGGUAAAGAAGCACCGGCUAACUACGUG
rnacentral:rRNA from 1 species